CUCGUCUCCAGGGUGGAGUAUUUUGAAUUUAUAAGUAAUGAAGUGGCAUCUGACACAUGACAAGCUGCUCCUGUUUGCACAGCAACAUUGUGUACUGUGACCACUGUCUAGUUCAGAGGUAGGUAACCUUGGGCAGUCCAGAUGCUGUGAAUUACAUCUCCCAUAAUGCUGGCAAACCAUCAUGGGAGGUGUAGUGCAAAACAUCUGGAAUACCGAAUGCGUAUGAAUGCAAAGUAUGGUGUGUGUGAAUGGUCAGUAACAAGGGUUGAAGCCUUGACGUGGCGUUACUGCUCACAUGUGUAUUCAUGUGCCAAUUCAACCAAUGUGAGUCACUGUAAUACUUAUAAGGUAACCAAAAGUACAGUGAUUGUGGAGAAUGAAACGCCUGUAUCACCUACACACUGUUUACACUGUGACCGUGUCUCCUAUACACUGCUUCACUGUGACUGUAUCUCCUAUACACUGCUUACACUGUGACCGUAUCUCCUAAACACUGCUUACACUGUGACCGUAUCCCAUAAACACUGCUUACACUGUGACCGUAUCUCCUAUACACUGCUUACACUCUGACCGUAUCUCCUGUACACUGCUUACACUGUGACCGUAUCCCACGAACACUGCUUACACUGUGACCCUAUCGCCUAAACACUGCUCAUACUGUGACCGUAUCUCCUAUACACUGCUUACACUGUGACCCUAUCUCCUAAACACUGCGACCGUAUCUCCUAUACACUGCUUAUACUGUGACCGUAUCUCCUAUACCAGUGAUGGCGAACCUAUGGCACGCGUGCCACAGGUGGCACGCCGGGCCCUCUCUGUGGGCACGCGGCCAUAGGUUUGCCAUCACUGCAGAGUAGGCGUCUGCCUGCCCGAAACGGCAGGCGCCUACUCUGCUUCUGUGUCGGCAGGACCGGAAGCAGGGAGGAGGGAUCGAGGAAACAGCUCUCCUGUCCUCCUGCGAGCUAUGUGGAGCGUUGCCGCGCGUUACCAUGGCAACGCUCCACACAGCAUCGCGCGGGAGGACAGGAGAGCUGCAGGACUUGUCAUCCUGUCCUGCAUACCACCACCAGACCACCAGGGAUGGCUGUGUCCCCCCCUCCCCUUCACCAAAGGUUAGAAGAAGGGAAGGGGGGGGUAACUGAUUUAAUAAUCUAUCCCCCUUACCCACAGCACCCCUACCCCCAGCACCCCUACCCACAGAACCCUUACCCCCAGCACCCCCACUACCCACAGCACCCCUACCCCUCUUACCCACAACACCCCUACCUCCAGCACCCCUACACCCCAUAGCACCUCUACCCUCCUUACCCACAGCACCCCUACUCCCCCUACCCCCAGCACACCACAGCACCCCUACCCCCCACACACAGCACCCCAAACACACAGCACCCCCACACACACAGCACCCUUUCCCCCCACACACACAGCACCCUUUCCCCCAAACACACACAGCACCCUUUCCCCCAAACACACACAGCACCCCAACCCCACACAUUACACACAGACACAUACACUGCACCCCUCAAUGCAGUAUAUGUGUGUGUAUUCAGUGUGUAUUCAGCAGACUGCGUGCGUGUAUUCAGCAGACUGCGUACUCAGCAGUGUGCGUGUAUUUAGCGGACUGUGUGUGUAUUUAGCAGUCUGUCUGUGUCUCGGUGAGUGUAUGUAUUAAGCAGUUGUUGUGUGAAUGUGUUCAGCAGUCUGUGUGUAUGUAUUGCAUUUGUUGGAGAUACUAAUAUAAGCUUAAUUUAUAUCGUUAUUUAAAAUUUGUAUAAUUUAACUCUCUGUUGUGUUCUUCUUUUAAAACAAAAGUUGUUAACUGUACGAGUAGUUUUUUCUAAACGUAAACCUCACUAUUCAGGUUUAAUUUCCAUGUUGGCACUUUGAUGGAAAAAAAGUUGGCAUGUAUUGCGGUUUGGGCACUCGGGCUCAAAAAGGUUCGCCAUCACUGUCCUAUACACUGCUUUUAUUCAAAAUUGAAAGCGCUCGAUCAUUCUUUUUAUUCUACGCCUCCAAUCUCCAACAUUGAAAUUGUCGUUUGUAAUAAUAUAAAAUAAGUAAUAUGCUUUCUGGUUACGAAUUGGUGAGUUGUAACUAUAUUUUUUUAAUUUUACAGUUCCAGAGGGAAGGAGCAAACCGCUUUGAGGAGUCCCUGCACAAGAGACUAUUGGAUACUGAAGGGCUGUACUGCAGUGUUGGCUCUAGACUUGGCGAGGCCUGAGGCGAAACUCAUACAUGAGACCCCACGGAGAACACCAUUAUUGAAGAAAAAAUAGCAGUUGACUUUGUGUAUAAGAAGCUGUAGAUAUAUUGAUGGGGGAGCUUGCAGCACUGGAUACACAGAGCUAGUCUCUGUAUACAUCGUUGCAUUAUCUACCUGAGUGUGUGUCUGACAGUGAGUAUCCUUGUAUCUGUAUGUAUGUUUCUCUGAGCAUGUGUAUGUUUGUGUACUGACUGGCCUUUGACACUGAGUUUAUGGCGAAGCUAUGUUUUAUGACGGUGUGUAUAAUGAUUGCCUUUGGGGGGUGACAGGGUGAGUAAAG